rnacentral:rRNA from 1 species
UAUAUAGAUAACGUGCCUCUUAGUCUGGGAUAGCCAUUGGAAACGAUGAUUAAUACUAGAUACUCCUUCUCAUUCUAAUAUGAGUCGGGAAAGUUUUUUCGCUAAGAGAUCGGUCUAUAUCGCAUCAGUUAGUUGGUGGGGUAAUGGCCUACCAAGACAAUGACGCGUAGCGGGUUUGAGAGGAUGAUCCGCCACACUGGUACUGAGACACGGACCAGACUCCUAUGGGAGGCAGCAGUGAGGAAUAUUGCACAAUGGGGGAAACCCUGAUGCAGCAACGCCGCGUGGAGGAUGACGCAUUUCGGUGUGUAAACUCCUUUUAUAUGUCAAGAAAAUGACGGUAGCAUAUGAAUAAGCACCGGCUAACUCCGUGCCAGCAGCCGCGGUAAUACGGAGGGUGCAAGCGUUAUUCGGAAUCACUGGGCGUAAAGGACGCGUAGGCGGGUUGCCAAGUCUGAUGUGAAAUCCUAUGGCUUAACCAUAGAACUGCAUUGGAAACUGGUAACCUAGAGUAUGGGAGGGGGAGAUGGAAUUAGUGGUGUAGGGGUAAAAUCCGUAGAUAUCACUAGGAAUACCGAAAGCGAAGGCGAUCUCCUGGAACAUUACUGACGCUAAGGCGUGAAAGCGUGGGGAGCAAACGGGAUUAGAUACCCCGGUAGUCCACGCCCUAAACGAUGAACACUAGUCGUCGCUCUGCUAGUCAGGGCGGUGAUGCACUUAACAGAUUAAGUGUUCCGCCUGGGGAGUACGGUCGCAAGAUUAAAACUCAAAGGAAUAGACGGGGACCCGCACAAGUGGUGGAGCAUGUGGUUUAAUUCGAAGAUACGCGAGGAACCUUACCUGGGCUACAAUGUGAUCGCCACCCGCCGAAAGGCGGGGUUCCUUCGGGACGUGAAACAAGGUGCUGCAUGGCUGUCGUCAGCUCGUGUCGUGAGAUGUUGGGUUAAGUCCCGCAACGAGCGCAACCCCCGUCUUCAGUUGCCAGCACGUGAUGGUGGGGACUCUGGAGAGACUGCCGGCGCAAGCCGUGAGGAAGGUGGGGACGACGUCAAGUCAUCAUGGCCUUUAGGCCCAGGGCUACACACGUGCUACAAUGGCGGGUACAACGGGUCGCGAAGCCGCGAGGUGGAGCCAAUCCCCAAAAGCCCGUCCCAGUUCGGAUCGGGGUCUGCAACCCGGCCCCGUGAAGUUGGAAUCGCUAGUAAUCGCGCAUCAGCCAUGGCGCGGUGAAUACGUUCCCGGGCCUUGUACACACCGCCCGUCACACCAUGAAAGCUGGCUCUACCAGAAGUCGCUGCGCUAACUCUUCGGAGAGGUAGGCGCCCAAGGUAAGGCUGGUGAUUGGGGUGAAGUCGUAACAA